rnacentral:lncRNA from 1 species
ACACACACACUCUCUCUCUUUCUCAUUCUCCUUUCCCUCCUCUCCAUCUCCCUAUUGCAUUGUGUCUGACUGAUUUUCAGAGCACCUUCGCUGUUUCCCCCUUCUCGUUCCCUUCCCAUAAAAUAUCUAGACAGGAAGGAGGUGGCUGCAGAGGCUGAACAAUCUCAUAUUCUGCCUGCAAUGUCAUCGUUUCUUUCCCCCAUUUUAGGGGGCUGAAGUUGCCCAGCAAGGGAUGCAGAGGAGCUGGAAAGGAAGGGGGGAGCUCUCCAGAGGCAGCUGCGGUCAGGGGCAGGGACUGCCGCCAGAUGUGCCUGCCUUUCUGGGCUUUGAUGAGAAAGGGGCAGCAGGAGGAAAUAUUGGGAGACAAAAGCCCCGGUUUAAAUGAUCAUUUUCUUUAUUUAACAUGGCAGCAGACACUCUCUGCGUAGGAUCAUCAUGCCGAGCAUAAACUGGACUUUCCCACUUGCCUGGCAGGAGUCACACAGAUCCCUGUGUGCUAAAUGAACAUCUGAGGUUUAAGAUGGGGCCCAAGAUGCUUUUCUGACAAAUUUCCUGGUGAUGCAAUGUUGCUGUUGGGGAA